rnacentral:misc_RNA from 1 species
GAUGAAGAACGCAGCGAAAUGCGAUAAGUAAUGUGAAUUGCAGAAUUCAGUGAAUCAUCGAAUCUUUGAACGCACAUUGCGCCCGCCAGUAUUCUGGCGGGCAUGCCUGUUCGAGCGUCAUUUCAACCAUCAAGCCCCAGGCUUGUGUUGGGGACCUGCGGCUGCCGCAGGACCUGAAAACCAGUGGCGGGCUCGCUGUCACACCGGGCGUAGUAGAUUUUAUCUCGCUCAGGGCGUGCUGCGGGUUCCGGCCGUUAAAAAGCCUUUUUUACCCAAGGUUGACCUCGGAUCAGGUAGGAAGACCCGCUGAACUUAAGCAUAUCAAUAAGCGGAGGA